CUCUUCCUAGUACGAGAGGACCGGAAGGG
rnacentral:rRNA from 1 species